ACCUCCUCCAUCUCUGCCAUCAUUACCGCCACCCAUACCAGUAACCUGCUGUGUGUGUUACCACCACCUGUGCCAGUACCCGCUGUGUGUGUUACCACCACCCAUACCCUGCUGGGAGAGCAUGAACACAAUACCCUACUACUACAAAUCAUGCAGUUGAGUUUCCCACAUUUGGGGAAAUUUCAGGGGCCAGCACAUCUGGAGUGCAAUGGAUAGGUCUCGCCGUGGGAAAACCACUUUAGUGAUCAUGGUAUCUCCCCUGCCAGGGGGAUCCUAAAUCAAAUGACAAGUGUCCUCACAAGAGACGCAAAGAGAGAAGGAAGUGUGGCCAUGGAGACAGAGGGGAGCAAUGCAGCCCCAAGCUGCAGAAGCCCUGGCGCCAACUUUCUUUGGGAAGUGAGGAGAGGAGGUUCGCGUCCCAGAGUCCUCAGCGGAGGCCAACACCUUGACCCCGCGCUUCUGCCUCCAGAAUACCAAAGAAGAAACAUCUGUUCUUGGCUGCUUGGUUAGCGGUGCUCAAGACUCCCCAGGCGUCCAGCCUGGCGCUUACAUCCCCAGGGUCUGGAGCUAUUCUCUGGCCCCUGUAUGAGGACUUUCUACAUCCUGUCUGGGUGGUGCCUCAGGGCUGGGAGAGGCCGCUGUGCCAGACCCCAGAAUGGUAAGUCAGCCUACACCAAAUGACCCUAAAAAGGAGGAACUCCACCACGGGGUCACUACGACUGAACCUGCAGGUCCCGAGGCCUCAUAUGGACAGGCAAGGCCUGCAAUACAUCAGAGACAAAGGGGGCAACCAGGUUGGGGGUGCAGGUCAAACUCUGCCCCUUUCUGCCUGGGAGCAAAGAGGCAUGUUCUGGUCUCAGUGCUAUACAUCCGAGUCCCAGGGCCAGAGAUGAGCCUCUGGUUUCGGGGAAGCACUUUUACCAACAUCAUGAAUGCUCGCUGUGUCUCCCCCAUGCACAAUGACAUACCUGUCUUUGUAAUUUGGUUCCUACAUCCACUCUGUGAAAUAUAUUGUGAUCCCUCCCCCAUUUGAUAGGAGGAGACUUGGCCUUCAGCAGAGAAGGUCAUGGGUAAAUUCACCCAGUAUGUAAGCGAUAGUACUGGAAUUUGAACUCACUUCAGAGCCUAAUUACAAGAGACGUCUCCAGCCAGAUGGGACCAGAGUAGAAACCCAAGCAGGACAGUGUAGAUGCUGGGGCCAAGAGGUGCCACCUUUUUGGAUCUGUUCAAAACUACAGGGCAUUGGGAGGGGCAAGCACAAAAGAAUCUCACAUUGACCCUGGCCUAAAGGAAAAGGUGAGGGGCUGUGGAGAUGACUGAGUGGUUAGUUCAGAGCCUGUGUGCUAACUAUUGAACCAAGAUGUCUCAGCCUCGUAGCUCUCUGGGAAGAUCUGGGAGGGUUGCUUCAAGGAAGUGCUCUCUCCGCUCUGGGCCUUGCAACAAGGGUGGGCUUCUGAGAGCAGAUGAUGGGGAGGUCAGUGUGGGUGGAGGGGAAAGCGUGAACA